UACGAAGGGGGCUAGCGUUGCUCGGAAUCACUGGGCGUAAAGGGUGCGUAGGCGGGUUUUUAAGUCAGAGGUGAAAUCCUGGAGCCCAACUCCAGAACUGCCUUUGAUACUGAAAGUCUUGAGUAUGGGAGAGGUGAGUGGAACUGCGAGUGUAGAGGUGAAAUUCGUAGAUAUUCGCAAGAACACCAGUGGCGAAGGCGGCUCACUGGUCCGGUACUGACGCUGAGGUGCGAAAGCGUGGGGAGCAAACAGG
rnacentral:rRNA from 1 species